AAGUCGUAACAAGGUUUCCGUAGGUGAACCUGCGGAAGGAUCAUUACCGAAUGACGUGCGUCCUGGUUGUGGUAGACCAUUUCCUCCGAUCGCAUUUGGUCAGAUGUCGGACCAGCCAGGAUUUGGUCUACCAUGCCUUUCAUUCACCAAACAAACCUGUCGUUGCAUGUGUGGCAUUAAAGUAUAUAUAAAUAUAACUUUCAACAACGGAUCUCUUGGCUCUC
rnacentral:misc_RNA from 1 species